UCCAUCCGCGUGUCUUAUGGUGGCCCCUCGUCGUCGAACUCGUUCAUGUGAUCUAGGAGAUAGUUUGCCGCCAGCUGCUCGUCCUUGUUGCAAGCGAAGAACACGUCCAGAACAAGCGCGCGGUCAAAGCCCAUUGCUUCAAGCUUAGGAUUAUGGCUUCAUUCUCCUCUGGAGUAACUGCUAUGGUCUGUGGCAUUGCCUCUGGAAACUGAUUAAGACAUACUCUUCAUCAUCACCCUCAGCUGGUUCAUUGAUUAAGUGGAGGAACUCAGCUUGGUUUUCCUGAAUCAGCUGCAAAAUCUGGGGAUUUUGUUUCCCCAAUUCUUGAAGCAAUGGCUGCAA
rnacentral:sRNA from 1 species